AGCUUCCGCUUGGAAGAAAGAUUCACAUCAAGUUGACUGGUCAAGGAAAUGGGACACUGACUAACCAUACAAUUAGACUGUUUUGAUGAGGAACUUAAAGAUUACGAGUCCCGUCCGUUUGACUCAGAGUUUGGUACCAUAGGUUGGUACGAUCUUCGUUGGAGAAGGAAAAGGGAUGUUCCAGAUACAGAAAAUAGUCAAACCAUUUACUACAAAGUCCGUUUCUGGGUGGAGUUAGUGGAACCGAAAAAGAUGUCUCCCUCACAGCGUUUGUGACAAAAGAAUUGCAUUGUUCCUUGGCGGCCUUUCAACAGAAGAAUAUUCAGAGAUUUCACGAGUGAUUCUGAUGUUGGUUCCUGGAAAGCCUCCAUUGUUGGAGGACGAGAAGCCGUAUCCAAUUGAAGCAGCACAGGCUUCUGCGAUGACUGUGGAAACCACUGCUUAUGCCUUGCUUCAAGCGUUGUCAAGGAAUGAUAUUGACUAUGCAACACCGAUUGCGAGGUGGCUAACGAUGCAA